rnacentral:sRNA from 1 species
AGGUACCACCCGUACACUCUGGCGCUGCGCGCCAUCCGCACCCACCUGACGACUGCGCGCUACGGUUUGCUAGCC